rnacentral:snRNA from 1 species
UUUCUACCCCUUGGAGAAGUUCUUUUUCCAGAGAAGAUUAGCAUGGCCCCUGUGCAAGAAUGACAUCCAAAUUAGAGAAGUGGGCCGUAGCUUA